rnacentral:lncRNA from 1 species
AUACCUCCCAUCAGCUCAUGCUCCCAGAGAGAGGUACAGGAAAUGUUCAUGAUCAAAUUCAGUUUAAAAUCGGGGCAGUUUAAACUCAGUGGCUGUUUUUACUGUUUUAGUCAGCUUUUUCACCUCUGUGGCAAAAAGACCUGACAAGAACAAUCAGAAGAGGAAAAGUUUAUUUGGGGGCUCAUGGUUUUCAGAGGUCCAUAGACAGCCAACGCCAUUGCUCUGGGCCCUAGAGGAGGCAGAACAUCAUGGCAGAAGGGUGUGGAGGAGGAAAGCAGCUCAAGACAUAGCACCAGGAAGCAUAGAGUGAGCUGCUGCAAUCAACAAGGACAAAAUAUAUACCCCAAAGGCCCACCCCCAAGGACCCACCUCAUCCAGCCACUCCCUACCUGCCUACACUGCAAACCAGAUAAUCCCUAUCAGUGGAUUAAAGCACUGAUUGGUUAACACUCUCAUAAUCCAAUCAUUUCACCUUUAAACUUUCUUGCACUGUCUCUUACAUGAGUUUUGGGGGAUACCUCUUAUCUAAACCCUAACACUCACCAAAGUGGAAUUACAAAAUCUCCCCAAGCCUCAGACAGCAGUGAGUUGCCGGAGUGAGGAGGCAGAUAAUGAGUUUUCAAGCCACGAGACAAAGCCAAUCAGUCCUUGGUGGGUUUCUUUUAACCAGUAUAUCAGGUGAAGGAGAUUGGAAGGAAUUCAAGCCUCCUGAAGAUAUGAAAUAAGCAAGACUUAAUUCUCAAAGCUGUUAAGCAAUAUAUAAGCAAAGCCUGGGACAUAAGCAAAGGGUAGGGAUUUCUGCAAGACAAUGGUUUAUAGUGCAGGUUUUGGAAAUAAGGGAGGUUCAGAUUGAGCACUGUUUUUAGAAUUUCUUACCUGUGGCUCCUUCCAUUUUCUUGCUGAGUCUCUAUCAGUGUUUUAUUCAUGUUAUUGUGAGGUAAAGUAAAGAAAUUAACUGGUACUUUACCAGAAUAUAACUGUUAAAAGGAGAAAGAUACCAUUCAUAACAUAACUUCUUUUUAUUUUUGGUACUAGGGGUAGAAUCCAGGGUUGCUUUAUAAUUGAGCUACACCCUCAGUCCACCUUAUGUUUUAUUUUGAGACAGGGUCUUGGUAAGUUACUUAGAGCCUCACUAAGUUGCUGAGGCUGGCCUGGAACUUGUGAUCCUCCUACCUCAGCCUCCUGAGUCCCUGGGAUUACAGGCAUGCGCCACCAUGCCUGGGAACCUAAUUGACUUCUAAGAAAGGAUUCUGUUUAUUGGACAGGAUAGGAAAAGAGAAAAAGAGGACAUUCGCAAAGCAGAAAGGGAGAGAGUGGAUUCUCUCAGAAAGGAGAAGGAUGACACACCUCUACUGUCCUUUUGUUUAAUUAGGAGUCCCAGGAAGUUUCCAGAAAGUCCAGGUCCACCUCUUGACUUUUGACUGAUAGCAGGAUUGCAUCAGACUUUUAAGUCCC